GUACAGAUUCUCCCUGAGAAACACCAGCAACUUCCUCCAGGCGUCUUCCUGAGCGCGAGAAUGUGCCACCAUCUCCCCGCCCCACAGAGCCACCACUGCAGAGACAAAAAAGACAAUUCUGAAUCAUUCAGAUUCAUCACUCGUCCUACCUGAGGGCAGGAAGAGGGUCGCAGUGAGUCCCUCCUCUGUGAUCGGGAUUCUGCGGACACCGGGCGCCAUGUACCAGCGCUCUACAACCACACCGGCCAGUGGCGCCUGAUCUGUAAAGCCCUCUGUCUGGUGACCCUGGUACACAGAGAUGGUGACCUCCAUGGGAGUCUGGACGUUCAUCUUCCUCAGCCUGAGGGACAAUAAGAAUGAUUAAACUCUGAUAAUGAUAUU